GGGGUUGUGGCUCAGUGGUAGAGCACUUGCCUGGCAUGCGUAAAGCACUGGGUUCGAUCCCAGGCACCA
rnacentral:tRNA from 1 species